CGGCAGGCCUAACACAUGCAAGUCGAGGGGUAACAGGGAGCUUGCUCCGCUGACGACCGGCGCACGGGUGCGCAACGCGUAUGCAAUCUACCUCUUACUAAGGGAUAGCCCAGAGAAAUUUGGAUUAAUAUCUUAUGUGAUAUUAGACUGGCAUCGGUUUAAUAUUAAAGGUUACGGUAAGAGAUGAGCAUGCGUCUCAUUAGUUAGUUGGUAAGGUAACGGCUUACCAAGACUUCGAUGAGUAGGGGUCCUGAGAGGGAGAUCCCCCACACUGGUACUGAGACACGGACCAGACUCCUACGGGAGGCAGCAGUGAGGAAUAUUGGACAAUGGACGGAAGUCUGAUCCAGCCAUGCCGCGUGUAGGAAGACUGCCCUAUGGGUUGUAAACUACUUUUAUACAGGAAGAAUAAGAUCUACGUGUAGAUUGAUGACGGUACUGUAAGAAUAAGGACCGGCUAACUCCGUGCCAGCAGCCGCGGUAAUACGGAGGGUCCGAGCGUUAUCCGGAAUUAUUGGGUUUAAAGGGUCCGUAGGCGGGCUGUUAAGUCAGAGGUGAAAUGCUGCGGCUCAACCGUAUGCACUGCCUUUGAUACUGGCGGUCUUGAGUUAUAGUGAAGUGGCUAGAAUAAGUAGUGUAGCGGUGAAAUGCAUAGAUAUUACUUAGAAUACCGAUUGCGAAGGCAGGUCACUAACUAUACACUGACGCUGAUGGACGAAAGCGUGGGUAGCGAACAGGAUUAGAUACCCUGGUAGUCCACGCCGUAAACGAUGGAUACUAGCUGUUCGGUUUUCGGACUGAGCGGCCAAGCGAAAGUGAUAAGUAUCCC
rnacentral:rRNA from 1 species